CUCAUUUCAGGGUUGGCAGUGGAGACAAGAAUAUCUUGCUGGGGAUCUUGCUGUACCUGGGACCUUCCAAGGUUCUAUCUAGGACGAGAUGAUGAUUGGAAUGGCCAACAUAGAUUUACUAAGGGCAAACAGCCUGACAAGCCUGACAGCCUGGUAGGAUGGAAAAACUGAUUCUGUGGAUCAGGAUUGGCGUGGAUGGCUUCCAUCCUGUCUCUCUCACAAAUAUAAGGACAUUGCUUGAUGGAUGCAAUCCUUCUCUUCCCCACCACCAUGCAAAAUCAGAUGACUCUAAGAAAACUUGAAAUCAGACUCAAAGAGCAACUGAGGCCAUUUUCCUUGCGCUGAAACUGUGACAAAAAGGUGGAGGGCAUGUAAAAUGGAGGUGGCAGUGCUGAUCUUCCACUAACAUCUGGUCAUUAAUUCCAUCUUCAGAGACUUCCAAAAUGCUGGCAAACACAGCUCCAGCUGGCAUGGGGACUGUUCUUUCUCCAAGAGCAGGUAAAUAGGCCAGAUGGUCCCUAAUUUUACUACUGUUUCUAGUAUGGAUGAUGAGCCUUGGUCCCUACUGAGCAAUAUGCCUUCCAGACGCUGAACAUUUUUAUUCACCUUUUGGCCACAUGGAAAUAACGUAAUUAUUAGAAGAGUAGUAAAAUGAUUAGGUAAUUUGAGAGUGAGAAGCAAACAAAAGGCAGCAAUGGUAACCUUGCUUUUCCUCUUUCAGAAUGGUAAAGUCUAGAAAUCCUUUCCAAAAAACUGCAUUUCCAUUUGUUUGCUGUAAACCAAAAUUGUUUAACUUUUAGGAAAGAACUGGAAGAAACUGUUUUGUCUUAUCCACUUGUUUUCUUUUCAGAAAAGGAACA